CGCAGGAGAGAAUGGAGUGGACAGUUAAUACAGAAUUUAUUCGGGAUGCUGGUCACAUCUUACAUUGUCAAAUUUGUCAGGGCCGCGAUGGCAACACAGCCAAGAGCAGUCCGGAUGCACCCCUCAAGGACAACUUCCUCCAGCUCCUCCCGGAGGGGAAUCACCAGAUUUUCCAAGUCUAGCUGGGCGAAAUAUAACUGUCCAUUUGCCCUGAUUGCAUAUUUACACUAAAUGUGGGUCAAACUUCCAUACUGGGUUCCUGUUCUUCAGUCAUGCUGCCAGGUUGGUGGAAUUUGUUUCAGUGCAGGUGAAAGAUCAACAAGCUACAGCAACACUGUGAACACCAGAGAGCGGAAAGGGUGACUGUGAUGGUGUUUUUUUUGUUUUGUUUUUUUUUUACCCUAUAGACAUCUAAAUGGGGAUGUAAAUUUCAUGUCCCAAUCAAGGAUUCUGGCCCCAAUCCUAUUUCAGUCCAAUGUAAAAUGCAUAGGGGGGUAAAAUAAUUGCCUUGGACCAUGUCCAACUAUAAUUUUGACCUUUUUUGCUUUCGAGGAUUUCUCUCGUGUAUCUCUGCAUUGGUUGAGGUAGAUAUUGAUUGGGCUUGAAGCUGUAUUAAGAAAACACUAGCAAGUGUUAACUUAGCACAGUGGUUCUCAAACUUUUUCUGUCAUGCCCCCCUUUGGAAGAAGAAACAUUUUAAUGCCCCCCGCCCCAACAAAAUGGUGACAAAAAGGGGCCAAGUUUAACUUUAUUUAAAUAACAUCAAGAUUAUGAACAUUCCUUUCACUUUCUUCCAGUAAUUUCUGUUGUGAAAAUAACAAACGCAAGUUCUACUUCAACUUCAUCAAACCUCUUUUGGUGAUGUUAGUCACUAGAUUGCUCCAUCAGUUGUGACAUUUGUCACUAGAUUGCUCCAUCAUGCUUUUUCAAAAACAGAGAAAAACGAAAGGAUUUUAAAAAAUCACUUUGCUGGAACAAUAACAAUAAAAUACAAUCUGAGCAACAACAAAAAAAGAAGAACAAAUGCAGACAUUUGAGAAAAACGAUGAGCAAGUCAAUUUGUGAGAGCUCAAGUCUUAUCACUGUUAGUGGCUGCAAUGAGCCUGUUUUGCACUGCACAUCUUUUCAAAAUGGGGUUGCAGGCUUGAUCCUGCCACUCCCAAGUCAUGCUCAAUGCUGAACUUAGAUCUGUACUUUGUUUUAAGUGAGGCAACAGCAGAAAAGCCCAUCUCACAGAGAUAGGAUGUGGUGAAGGGAAGUAGAAUGCCCACAGCCCUCUGUCCUAUGAGUGGAUACUCCCUCUCCACACCAAGCCAGAAUUCACUCAGUGUCUGAGCUGUAAAGCUCAGCCACAGUGUGGAGUCAGAUGUCAUCUCGAUGAACUGGUCCUCUUCAGCAGAGCUUACAUCAGCAGGUGCUGCUGCAUUGAAUAGAUCUGUCACCCAGUCAUACUGAGCGCUGUUGUUUGGGAAGUAUUUUUGAAAGAAUCCUCUCACGGAAGAGAUGUGCUCCUUAAGACAUGAAAUCACUGUGGGGGCGCCAGAAUCACUGAUUUCAACAAAUUCACUCAGAUUCUCAAAGAAAUCAGUAUUUAUUUCCUUGAUCAAGCCGCCUGCCCCACAUCUCAAGCUUUCGAGGGAAUGGACUGAUCUUGUCUGCCAGGUGAGGAAGGUGCUUGUCUCUGCCUUGAAGCUGAAGAUUUAAUUCAUUCAGCUUUCCAAAUAUAUCGCUGAGAUAGGCCAGUUUCAUCAGAAAUUUUUCAUCACUAAACUUGCUUGCAACCUCAUGCAUAUGCUCCUCCUCCAGAAACACACACUUUGAGAAAUGCUGGAUUAGCAUAAACUGCAUUGCCCCUGAUGUCUACUAGCUGGACAUGCAUGGCAAAACUAGUGAUCCCUCUCAUAGCCGGGUGACAAAACAUCUGCAGCAUGAUUGUUGGCAAAAUAAUCCUUAAAAUUUCACUUACAUGUUUAAAUAUAUAAUAACUGUCAUAUUUCUUUUCUAUUCAUAUUCAAUAUAUUCUAAAAUCAAAAUGACUGGUAAGAAGGAUCCAAAAACCCCAUCAAUUUUUGCCAUAGGCAAAAAAACUGAAUGGAUCCAGAUGUAGUCUGAGAACCCCAAAAUGACAACGAUUAAGAGGUCUACUGAUUUCAUUACCAUUUUUUUCCCAAAUUUUUUUUGUUAGUUUUUGAGGACUGUAAUGCAGACAUUUCUGCUUCAUUAGACAGUAAAGGGUGAGCAGAGGCAGAAACAGCAGAUAACAGUAAAUGGGACUGCAAAGGACAAAGCGGCGCUACAUUACAAUCCACCAAGUUGUGAGCACACAGAUCCACAUUUUCCACUGCUUCAAAUUCAAAUUCUCACAACCCACCUGAUGGUGCCGCACCAAGCACACGGAGUAAAACACCGUGAUACACAAUCAUAAAAACUGGAAAAAGGCUUCGGAUCAUUUUGAAACUAGAAAGAUACCUACUUCUUCCCUAAUACUACUAUCAAUCCAUUUUUCUGUGCAUUCUUAUUCAAGCCUUACAAAUAAAUAGUACAAAAACUACAUCACG